GCUGGGAGACCGCGGCUGGGAGAUUUCCCCCUCCCCCAUCCCCACAAAGCCUGCCGUUGGAAGACGUUGGCCGCUCGCCACCCCGGCUUCCUUCCGUUAGGGUCACUGGACCCCGGGGGUCCCGGGAGCUGCAGGACUCGAGGUUGACCAGGCGCACUCUGGCUGUGGCAGGCCCUCUGGGAGGCUGUGCAGACUUGGAGACCCAAAAUCUAGACUAUAGCCUUGAGCUAUAGCAGAGCCAUAUAUUCUUGUGGUGACAGUGGCCUUAGGAAAAAAAUUCUCUCUCUUGGAUGAUUAGUCAUGAGGCUGCUCUGUCAGCACAGCUCUUGAUGGAAACGGCAGAUAGGUCUGCUGUCUGUGAGCGCCGCAGGGUGGCAGAGACUGGAAGACUUGGCUCCUUGGUUUGGAAGCGGCACUGGCUGAGACUUGGUUCUUUGGAAAUAGACAAGGUCCCAUUCCAGGAGGAUUUUCAAGUAGAAGAUGAAUGGACAUCAACUAGGGACACUGAGAAUAAGGGCUUCAUGAUACAAUGUUUGGCUGUCUCUUGAUGGGGAAGGGCAAGUGUGCUCUUGUGGUCAAGUAGGGGAGAGGUGGGUUCUGUCAUGUGGAAGUUUCUUUGAAAUUGCGAAUUUCCACUCAUGGAACAAUGGUGCCAUUAUAAGCUCAGCACCAAGGAAUGUAAAUGUCGCAUUAAAACCUUCUUGAGGUAUCUGCCGUCUCACAAUAUAUAUGCUUCAAAGUGAUGCUACUGCAUUAUAAUAAAGUAUCCUUUUGAUGACAUAUGAUCUGACAGAGCAUUUAUGUGUACGAAACAUCUUUCAAAGACAACACAAAUUGAAU
rnacentral:lncRNA from 1 species